rnacentral:ncRNA from 1 species
CGAUCAGCGCGGACCGUACGACGAGUUCCGCGCCGGCUCGCAAUCCCAUCCCCGGUAGAGCGAAUGAUUAGAGGCUUCUCGGGGCCGCAACGGUCUCGACCUAUUCUCAAACUCCGAACGGGUGAGACCGGGGGCUUUCCCGGCGGACGAAGCCCGGCGGCCGUCCCCUCGGGGUCGGCCGCGCGACACCGACGGAUGAGAGCUGAGCCCAGUGGGUCCGUUCUGGUAAGCAGGACUGACGAUGCGGGGUGAACCGAACGCCGGGUUAAGGCGCCUAAAUCGCUACCGAAAUUACAGACACCCGUUCAAUGGUCGGACGCCGGCGUGCGACAGCAGGACGGUGGCCAUGGAAGUUGGCAUCCGCUAAGGAGUGUGUAACGACUCACCUGCCGAUGCCGGUGGUUCCGAAAAUGUCUGGCGCUAGGAGUAGCGUGCCGAUACCCGGCCGUCAGCGGUAGAGCACGGGCGACGUCGCCGCGCGAGCCGCUCCCCGGCGCCCGGUCAAACGGGCCGAGGAGCGCGCCAGCGGCGGGAACGCGCCUCGGGUAGACCCUGACGAGUAGGAGGGCGCGGCGGUGAGCGCAGAAGGGUUCAGGGCGCGAGCCCGCCCGGAGCCGCCGUCGGCGCAGAUCUUGGU